CUUGAGUCGCAGACACGCAGGCGCCAACGUGCCCACGGCGCACGGCCCGGACUGCGGCCGGGGAGCUCGCGGCCACACACAGGCGCACAGGCCGGCGCAGCGCCGGAGGUCUGGGGGCCCCAGGUGUCCGGCGAGGGCCCCCCUGGGCACCGGGCCCUCCUGCUUCUCAGCUUGGCCCCCUCGGACCCGCCGUCCCCUGGGCGCCCCCCCACUUGGGCUUUCUGCCCAUGCCAGGCUCCCCCUGCUUGUCGCCUGUGGGGCUCUCACAUCGGAUCCCUCGACCACAGCGCAGCCGCCAGGUCCUCACGGGUCCUAAGGGCCCACGACGCCCAGGGGGACACAGCGGCCCAGCGCGGCCCGAGUCCUCGUGCGGGGCCAGCGUCACCCCCCCGUGUCGGCCAGGGCUCCGUGCUCUCCGACGCCCACCCGUCCCCCGCCUGUGCUCUCGGCCACGGGGGAGAGGCCCCGGGUCCAGGAGGGGACGGGCCGAGGGAGGCUCUUCCUGAGAGCAGCGCCGUCCCGGCUGGCGUCCCCGGAGCAGACUCGGCGACCGGAGCCCAAGUGCAGGUGCCCCGGGGCCGGUCCCUUGUGUCCGAUCCGGUCCCCGCAGGCCGGUCUUGCAGGUGCUCGUGGGCCUUGCGGAGGGGUCGCACAUGGGCACAUUCCCGAGUGGCCGCUGCUCUCGCGGGGCACUGGGACACGCCAGCCAGGCCACCGUCCUGGCAUCCGUUCGUCACCUCCGGGGUAUUUGCAAGUGGGGGCUGUGAUGAGGGUUGGGACGGCUACUUGGGGAGGCCCCCGCCAGGGGAGGCGUGGGGUGGUGGGGACCGCGAAGCGCCUGUAACCCCCACACCCUCGCCAGACGCGCGAGCCCGUCGGCCCCAUCCACACCCGCACCCAGGGGUCUUCUCUUCCGGUGGGCGUGGAAUCGUCCCCGACUCGGCUUUACCUUCCACUUCCCCGAUGGCGAAUCCUACAGAGCCUCCUCGGGUGCCCGCGGCUUUCGGGACUUGUCGGCUCCCGUGUCUUGCUCCUCUUGUGUGA
rnacentral:lncRNA from 12 species